GUUCUUCUCUUACGCUGUUGCUGUGGGCUGGCAGAGAAACUCAGUGAGGAGAUCGCAGGAAUCGACACACAAGCGACAGCUUUCACAGGCCUCUGGGGACGGAAAUCAGCAUUUUUAACUAUCCGGAGGAUUUGUUUGAGGUUGUUGGUGUCACAAUGAUUUGUGGUCCUAUUAAAAUGACAUUUGCUGAUGACAUGAUCCGACGCGUGGUAUUGGUUCAUCUCAGCGUGAAGACGUGCUGAUCUUUUCAUCAUGGCCACACAGGAUGCCAACACCUUCUGGGAAUGAUGAAAACAGACAUCAAGGGUGAUCUAUGCCUAGGAAGCUGGAGGCUCACAUGGAACUCUGUGUCCCUCACCAUCUGGUGGAUCCUUUGAAGACAGGAACUGAAACGUCAUCACCCACGUCCCACAGUGCAUUGCAAUGUCUGGUGCACAAUUGUGCCCAAUAUUUGAGAAAUGAAUGACUUACUAUUGGUGGAUGAAACCCAAGGAAAAUAAACAAAAUCAAACA